rnacentral:rRNA from 1 species
UGGGGAAUAUUGGACAAUGGGCGCAAGCCUGAUCCAGCGACGCCGCGUGAGCGAUGAAGCCCUUCGGGGUGUAAAGCUCUUUCGGCAGGGACGAUAAUGACGGUACCUGAAGAAGAAGCUGCGGCUAACUACGUGCCAGCAGCCGCGGUAAUACGUAGGCAGCGAGCGUUGUUCGGAAUUACUGGGCGUAAAGAGUGUGUAGGCGGUGCUCUAAGUUCGGUGUGAAAUCUCCUGGCUUAACUGGGAGGGUGCGCCGGAAACUGGAGUGCUUGAGCGUGGGAGAGGAAAGCGGAAUUCCUGGUGUAGCGGUGAAAUGCGUAGAUAUCAGGAGGAACACCUGUGGUGUAGACGGCUUUCUGGACCAUAGCUGACGCUGAGACACGAAAGCGUGGGUAGCAAAC